UGGUUCAGUUGGUAGAGCAUGGUGUUUGCAAUGCUAGGGUUGUGGGUUCGAUUCCCAC
rnacentral:tRNA from 1 species